rnacentral:rRNA from 1 species
UACGUAGGGGGCUAGCGUUGUCCGGAAUCAUUGGGCGUAAAGCGCGUGUAGGCGGUCCGGUAAGUCGGCUGUGAAAGUCGGGGGCUCAACCCUCGGAUGCCGGUGGAUACUGUCGGGCUUGAGUACGGAAGAGGCGAGUGGAAUUCCUGGUGUAGCGGUGAAAUGCGCAGAUAUCAGGAGGAACACCAAUGGCGAAGGCAGCUCGCUGGGACGUUACUGACGCUGAGACGCGAAAGCGUGGGGAGCAAACAGG